AACAUGCUCGCAAUUUCUCAUCAGAGAGGAGGAGGAUAAGAGAGCAGUUCGCCAACACUCCUACGCCUGAGUGUUUGCCUAUUGUGGCUUGACUCCAGUCCGGCUACGGCUCUGUUGAUUCCUCGUUGUGCUGAUUUCCUCGUCUCAAGUUCCAAGUGAAGUUCCUGGAGUCCGUUUCCAGCUGGCGACUGCUAAAACCUCCUCAUUUCUGGCUCAAGACCCAAGCGAACCCUGUCCACCCUUACCUCCGAGCCCGGCAGCUAUACUCGUCAUUCAGUAAGAAAACAAACCCCAGAAAAACCUCACCAAUGUGUGUGUUGUGUGAAGGAUCUAGUGGAAUACAACUUCAAGCAGGCACAGAAUUCAUCCAUCCGACCCCGCUUUGUCUCCCUCUCAUACAAAGCUCCAUCCAUCCAACCAGUAAGUCUGAAGGAGCUCAUAAAGUAAAUCUGAUAACUAUUUCCCAUCACUUACCAAUCCUUCUCUCCACACCGUGGAUGCAAUCCAGUUUCAGUUAUCAUAUCAAUUCAUCAGUAUUAAACUCUUUAACUUUUUAUCUGUCUCCUGAGUGUUCUCUGCAUGUGGGUCAAGUCAAUAAACAAAAAGAUGACACUUUUUAGAUUUUGCUUGAUAUGCCAUUAACAUUUCACUAAGCAUUGGUUCUCGCUCAUCCAGAGGUCUGAGUGAGAUAAUGACUGUUUGGAAAUUUUUUUUCACCUUUAUCCAUUAAUGAGAAAUGUUGUUAUACCUUUGGACAUCCAUUUAAUCUUGCAUUUGUUUGGUUUGACUCAAAAACAGGGUCAUAGGCGCACCACCUCAUAACCCUCAAGCUUUCAUGUAGUUUGUGUUCUUGUUUGGCUUCUGUCCAGAUUUUUAAUUGUGAUUUUUUUAUCCAGGGAUUUUCAACCUUGUGCUGGAUCCGUUUUAAAUCUUUAUUCCCAAGAACUGCUUGUAAAGGGGGUCUAGUGUAAUUCAAUGUCUUUCCACCAAGCAUGGUAGUUUGUAUUAAAAAGAAUUAUCAGGGGUUCGAUUUGUACAGAAUGAAAGGUGCAGGUCUGCUAUAGCCCCUUUUUCUUUGGAUAGUUCUGUUUUAAUCUAAUUCUGUUCCUAACCAUCUAAAUCUAGAAAUCAUUCUAUCCCACUCUGUAAAUAGUUUUCUUUUUUUUUUUUUUUGUAAUUAUGCCCGGGAGACCUUGGAACAAAAAGAGAAAUCUUGGUAACAGGUUCAUUUUAACAGCUCGUAUUCUAAACAUUACCAGUCAUACAUACUUUAAUAUUGGCUUACAAGAGCCUCAGAAACGAAUUUCCUGUACUUACACUGUUUGCAGUGUUUGAAAGCCACUCACCAUGCCCUGGAAAUGGCUGAUCACCCUCAUAAAAUGCUUCAGUUGUAGAUUUCAUUUAUUUAAAGGGCAAAAAGUAAGUGUUCAGUCACUGUUCGAGUUGAUGUUUCUGCCUAAUGACUUAUGACCGUUGACCAAACAAAAGUUCCAACUCUGUUGCAGACUACACUGGGUGUUGUAACAAGGGUCAAACAGACUUCUCUGCCUCCUAUGACUGGAUGCUGUCUCACUGUACACAGACCUUUGCACACUAUUCCAGAAAGUGCUUUGCUUUUGUUCUGCAAAAAGAAAUGCCUCUACAUUUUUAUCAAUGUCCUUCACUUCUGACCUACAAUGUUGUUGAAUGUUUUAAUAUGUUGUUACAGUAACAGUCAUGCUUUACUAAAAUACACUGUAUGCAAGGGCACUUUUUUAUCAUGCAGGGCGUUAUUAUUUCACAGAUGUUUUGUUGCAGGAGAGAAAAAUCUUAUCAGUUUCCCGUAAUGUGGUCAGGACUUGUUUGCGUAACAAACUCCAACAUCACUGAUUAAAGGGCAAUAUUGCAGAACUUGGCUAACUGUAAGCUCAAUACUUUCACUUAAAAUACAAAAAAAUAGGUUAUAUUAAUUACCAGAAAGAGUGCAGAUUGGUAAAAGCAGGAUCUACCAAGACAAUACAAAAGGAAAUUAAAAAUACAUUUGAACAUAAAUAAAAUAGAAUCUGGGCAGUGUGUACCUGCUUGAAAACCUUCACUAUGAUCUUGUUAUAGCCAACAAGGAGCACAUAUUUGAACAUAAUCCUGAACAUCUAAAAUACUUGUAGCAUACCAUUAAAUAGUUUUUUUUCUUGUUUGCUUUAAAAAUAUGGCACUAUGUGUGGGCAGCUGUCCAAAAGCAUUGAACCCAGGAGUAUUGAUAACCUGAUAUUCAAUAGGCUUUCUUAAUUAAAAUGCCUUAUACAUCCAAAACAUCUGAGUUGCGAUAGAGCUUUGGAACCGACGUCACUGCGCAGUGACGUUGUGGGGCACUUACGUCUCGCGCAGUCAAUCUGCGCCAUCUUUAAAGGCCACAGACGAAAACAAACUAUUCCCCGGUGUUAGAGCUGUAUCCUGCAUAAUGCUGAAAAGCAGCUCAAAACAAAGUGGACUAUAUCGUGACAAACUUCUCCCAGAUGCCAAAAGACGGUACAUAGAAAAAAUAGCUAAAAUUGGAAAUGUCGACCCCUUUGAAUUAAGAAAUUGGAGCAGAGACCCUCAACAUUUGCCUCCACUGACAUUCCCAGACAUAUUUGCAUACCUGGUCUGUGGUGUCAGUGCUUACACCGCAAGUAAUUUUAAGAAUUACAAGUCAAUGGAAGCGCAUGUCCAAUUUACGAAUGGCUGGGUACACAAUUUGGACAUUUUUAACCCCUCGGAUUGUGAAUACGUUGUGGUUCGAACAAAGGUUAUGCACUCUCAGAGACUCUCUGAGCCGCCAUUAACAGUGGGUCAUGCUGAGCGACACUGGCACAGUUGAGUGUGCACAUUGCACCUGCAUGGCAGGGGUAGCCGAGACCUGCACUCAUAUCGGUGCCCUACGUUUUAAGCUGGAAGCAACAGUGAGGAUACAAGGCAGAAAAACUGUUACGGAUGAGCCAGCAUUCUGGGUAUUACCUGGCAACCUGACUAAGAUUCAUCCAGAAGUCGGCCAUAAAAUUGACUAUAGUACUUCAGCUUCUCAAAAGAAGAUACUUGACCAAAAAAUCCACACAAAAGUCCCAACAACAGCCAGAAGAAGCUGUCCACAAAAAAGAAAAACCCCACCAGCAAAUCUGGAAGAUUUGGCUCCUCUGCUUGACACGCUACUAGAGCACAGCAAGGCUGUUGGUUUAUCAGGAAUGGAGAAAUAUUACACACAAUUCACCCACACUGAGCAGAUCUUACCUCAGUCACUUGCAUCUCUGCACAACAAAAACAUAGAGUCCAAUGACAUGUCAGCUAUUUUGCUGUGCUGUGAAAAAUACAAAGAUGCUGCAGUAGUGACAGAUGAGCAGGCAGAAACCAUUGAAAAGCACACAAGACUGCAGCACAAGUGUUCUGCCUGGUAUGAAUAUAGAGCUGGAAGAAUUACAGCUUCCAGAAUGCAUGCUGUAUUUGCCACUAGUUUGGAAAGCCCAGCACUGACAGUUGUUAAACAGGUGUGUUACCCAGGCAACACAGUGUCUACAGUGCAAACAAGGUGGGGUGUGAAGCAUGACAGUGAUGCACAAAAAAUUACAGCAAGCAGUCACAAAAAUCUACAAGUUAAACCAUGCGGUUUCAUCAUAAACACCAACUUCCCUGAAGUCGGAGCAUCUCCUGAUGGACUCACAAUGUGUGAUUGAUGUGGGAAUGGAUGCCUUGAGAUAAAGUGCCCUUUCAAAUAUAGGACAACAUCCAUACUACACACAGGCACAAACUGAGAUCUUUGUUACAAAAUCAAGCCAUUGUGAUCUUGUUGUGUGGACCCAGAAAGACAUGGCUGUGGUCCAUGUCUUUCCAGAUCAGAAAUUCUGGGAACCACGCCUCCAAAAAGCACAAAGUUUCUUUAAAAAUAUUUGUCUCCCUGAGCUUGUCGGUAGAUAUUUCUCAGAGCAUGCCUGUAACCCAGCUUCGAGGGAGACAUAACUGGGUAAAAAGUAAUCGAACAGCAUGUAAAUUGUGCUGUUCGACUUAUAUUUCCACUUCUUAUUUUUGUGAAGCAAUUUCCCCUGUAUAAGGUAUUACCUCAGAUGAUGUUCAUCACGUUUACAUAAAAUGUUUUUUUUGAAGUAUUUAAUUACAUAAAAUUAUUUCUUAGAAAUAGGAUAUAUUUCAUUACAUAUUUACUUGUUACCUGAAAUGUUAUGCAUCAAAUGUUUACUUAAUGUGAUCUGAUCACAUUGGUUACCUUUUAAAGUUUACUUUGAAAUGUUUAAUUACCUCAGUUUUUUACUCAAAGAUUGGAUCUAUUUAGUUACAUGCUUACUUGUUACCUGAAAUAUGUUAUAUAAAUCAAUAUAUACUUUAAAUGGGAUCUAUUACAUCAAUAUGUGUUGCCUUUAAAUGUUUACUUUCAAAUGUCUAAUUACAUCAAAUAUUUACUUAAAAUCUGAUCUUUUUCAUCACAUUACCUGAAGUGAUUCAAUGAAAUGUUUUAUGAAUGUUUACCACAUGAAUAUUUAUUAAAUGAGAAAAAACAGUCA